rnacentral:lncRNA from 1 species
CUCACCGAGGCGCGCCUCGCGCGGGGGGUUCUCCAUCAGCUUCUUCAGGACCAGGGGGAAGGACCCCGACAGGCCCCUUUCCCCAGCUGCGCGCCCCGGCCCCGGACCGGGUCCUGCCUGCGGGUCCACAGGCGGCUUCUUUCCGCCGCCCGCGUCGGACAUCGUGCCCCGGACUCGGCUCGCGCACCUCGCCUCCCCCGCCCGCCCCCCGAGAUGGGCCGGAGCCGUGCGACCCGCUGCAGCUGCCGACACGGGCAGCUACUGCGCAGGCGCCCAAUGGCGCCCCCGCCUCCUUCCAUCGCUACCCCGCCUGCGGACCGGCUCUGGCACAUUAAUUAUUCAUGAGGCCAGGCCAGCUUCCCCGGAUCGUUGCUCUGGAUUGGUCCAGCCUGCGAGAGGGGCAGGCGCAGAUCCUCGGGCCGUGAUUGGUCGGGCAGCCGGGAUAAGAUAGACACGUGCGGGGCCAGGGCUUGGUCUGCAAAUGGAGAGCUCCCUCAAGAGUGCCCUUUCCAGAGAGAAGCCCUCACCUCUGCCCUGUGUGAUGUCUCAGAAGCCACUACCAGAUAGCCACGGUUUCUGCAGUCAAAGACGUGCUGGAGGGGACAGAGGUGGGCCUCUGGAGCCAGACCCCCUGGGGCUGACUCCUGCUUCCACUUUAGUCGGCCCUUGAACAACAGGGGUUUGGACUGCAUGAGUCUACUUACAUGUGGAUUUUUUUCAACAAAAGUUACACUAAAUUUGCCUGCCUCUCCUGCCUCCCCUUCAACUUCUGCUACCCUUGAAACAACAAGAUCAACCCCUCUUCUUCCUCCACCUCCUCCUCUUCCUCAGCCUACUCAAUAUGGAGACAAGGCUGAAGACCUUUACAAUGAUCCACUUCAACUUAGUUAAGAUUCUGUUAUGAUUUUCUUUUCUUUUUUUUUUUUUUGAGACAGUUUUGCUCUGUCCCCCAGGCUGGAGUGCAGUGAUGCUGUCAUAGCUCACUGCAGCCUUGAACUGCUGGUCUCAAGCAAUCCUCCUGCCCCAGCCUCCAGAGUAGCUCGGAUUUCAGGUGUGCACUGCCUUGCCUGGCUAAUUUUUU